UACCAGCACCCCGAGUGGUCGGGACGAUUAUUGGGCCUAAAGCAUCCGUAGCCGGUUCUUUAAGUCCUCCGUUAAAUCCACCUGCUUAACAGAUGGGCUGCGGAGGAUACUAUAGAGCUAGGAGGCGGGAGAGGCAAGCGGUACUCAGUGGGUAGGGGUAAAAUCUGUUGAUCCAUUGAAGACCACCAGUGGCGAAGGCGGCUUGCCAGAACGCGCUCGACGGUGAGGGAUGAAAGCUGGGGGAGCAAACCGG
rnacentral:rRNA from 1 species